UACGAAGGGUGCAAACGUUGCUCGGAAUUAUUGGGCGUAAAGCGCGCGUAGGCGGCUUGGCAAGUCGGAUGUGAAAUCCCUCGGCUCAACCAAGGAAGUGCAUCCGAAACUGCUGAGCUUGAGUACUUAAGAGGAUCGCGGAAUUCCCGGUGUAGAGGUGAAAUUCGUAGAUAUCGGGAGGAACACCAGUGGCGAAGGCGGCGUUCUGGACUGCAACUGACACUGAGGAACGAAAGCCAGGGGAGCAAACGGG
rnacentral:rRNA from 1 species